GAUGAACGCUGGCGGCGUGCUUAACACAUACAAGUCGAACGAAGCACCUACCAAGGAUUUCCUCGGAAUGACUAAUAGGUGACUGAGUGGCGGACGGGUGAGUAACGCGUGGGUAACCUACCUCAUACAGGGGGAUAACAGUUAGAAAUGACUGCUAAUACCGCAUAAGCGCACAAUAUCGCAUGAUAUAGUGUGAAAAACUCCGGUGGUAUGAGAUGGACCCGCGUCUGAUUAGCUAGUUGGUAAGGUAACGGCUUACCAAGGCGACGAUCAGUAGCCGGCCUGAGAGGGUGAACGGCCACAUUGGAACUGAGACACGGUCCAAACUCCUACGGGAGGCAGCAGUGGGGAAUAUUGCACAAUGGGGGAAACCCUGAUGCAGCGACGCCGCGUGAGUGAUGAAGUAUUUCGGUAUGUAAAGCUCUAUCAGCAGGGAAGAUAAUGACGGUACCUGACUAAGAAGCUC
rnacentral:rRNA from 1 species